UUGCAUAUCUACUUCUGAACAAUAAUGGGAAUGGUUACAAUGACUGAUUCAGGCUGGGUCACGUACCUAAACUUGUGACCAGGGGUCUCUAGUUUUAGAAAUGGAAACCCCUUUCACAACCACGAUGUUGGAGAGGGAAGCAGCUACCUCAAAAGAAGGGAAUGAACGGUUGAGACCAGACAAUAUAAUAAGUGGCCACUCUCUGGUAGAGAAAGACUUUGGAGGAAACCCAUCAGGCAUCCAGAACCCACAGCUCUGCCAUCAGAACUCCAUCCUGGGAACAGAAGCCGUCUAUCUGCAUCUGUAAACAUGGCCUCAUGUAGUGACGUGCAGGGAAAUGAGUGUGCCCUUGCAAUGGUUCUCAGUCCUUUCUUUAUCUCAACAUCAUGGCAUUUUAUGGCUUCCCUCAUGAGACAACUCAAUUAUUCUCACAAUUUAUCUAGAUUUCUGGAAAAAUAUGUUGGAAUGUGGCCUUCCUACCCCAUUCCCUCUGACAACAGGUUUAUUGAGGAAUAUAUUUUACUUUCAUAUUUUUAUUUCAGAGGAAAAAUUUCUCCCCAGACAUUUAUUUUCCCCAUGGUUCUCUAAGAGGGAGACAUGAAUGAGGAAACCAUAAAAUAAAAUCAGAUAAGGUAAAUCCACGGGAACCUUCUCAGUGCAGUGGUAAUACAGAGUAUAAAGUAGCCCUCCUUACUCUUAAGAGGAAAUUUUGCCUCUUCACCUUUCCAAAAGAAAUGACGGUAAUUGUUCUUUAAUUCUCAAACAACCUUAUCUUUUGGUAGCUCAAUAAUGGCAGCAUCUGGUAUAACUUGGAUGCAAGGACUGUUGGCAAGAUCACUAUAAUUUCCAAGAUUUCCAGAAAUUUUCAAUUAAGACUGUUAAAAAUAAAAAAAUACAGGAUAUGAUUUUCAAAGCUGGAAAAUAAAUGCCUGAUUAUAUGGAAUGGUCCCCUUUUGAGGAAAGAAACUGGGAAUAGUUUGGAGCACAAUUUGGCAUAAUGAAGGGAAUGUAAGGUUUAGUCCUGCAGUCACUAAUUGUAUGACUUCAGGCAAAUUACCCUUUCUAGGCCUCAGUUUCCUUAUCUGAAAAAUGGGGAUGAUAAUAAUACUGUACCUACCUCAUAGGUUGCUUUGAUGAUUAAAUGAGCCAAUACAUGUAAAGUACUUGGAAGAGCACUUGCCUCUAGUAGAGCUUGUUCUUAUUAUCAACACUACAGGAGUUACUAGGAAUACAUGAUUAAUUCUGCCUGUAGCCUUUUCAGAAGACUUAGCAUGGCACACCAGUGCAGGAGCAUAGGCUUUUUUCUCAAACAUCUUGAUAACACCAGAAGACAUUUGCCGAUUUCAAAUUGACAACUCAUGACAAUGUGUAAGUUCUAAGUUUCAACCCAAUACUCUUUGCCUCAAGUUGUUCUCCUUCCACUUUAGAGAAAUCAUUACUUCCUGUGUUAAGCAAAUGCCUCGAAAUCAUCUCAGAGUUCCCCCGUGAGUGAUCCUAGUUUUGAAGAGACUAUUCUCAACCCACCUGUCAAUUAUGUCAGUGUAAAGGCAUCCAGAACAUCUGUCCUGAAUUUUCCCGGACUGCACCUGGACUUCAAAAUGAUGGAAGGUGGUGAUCUAACUGUGCAGAAAACAUUGUGAAACAGGCCACAUUCUCAAACUGGUUUGAGAAACUUUUAGAAUAAAAUGUGUCUGGCUAGGUUUAUUCAGCCUUAGUUAUUACUCUUUGUGUAUACACAAGGAUUUCAAACCAUCAAUAAAUGACUGCAAGUGGUUUCUAGUCAUAUCCAACCAACAAAAAGUCUUCCCUUAUGUGUCAAAAGCAAGCAAACCUCAAAUUGGUAAGUUUUCUUUUCCUGGAGAGAUUCUGUGGAAUAUGAU
rnacentral:lncRNA from 1 species